rnacentral:tRNA from 1 species
GCCGGGGUGGCUCAGCCUGGUUGGAGCGCCUGACUCAUAAGCACAGCUCAAGGGUUCGCUGGGAAAUCAGGAGGUCGCGGGUUCGAACCCCGCCCCCGGCA